GACUUGGUGGUGUAGUACAUAGUAGGUUGCAAACUUAAAGAAGCGUUAGCCCUAGUUA
rnacentral:tRNA from 1 species